ACGCAACUUCCUGUGUAACUCUUCCAUGCUGGCAGCACCAUGGGCUUUGGCUUGCUAACCAUAAGCAGCCUGUUAUUUGAUUCUCCCAGUGUAUCCUUCUUUGAGAUGUGUGAUCAGAGAUGAAGCAGCUGGUCUGGAGCUGCACAGAGAUCUGGGACCAGAGCUGAGCUUGGAUACGCCUGGUGCCCAUGAAAGAGAGAAGAGGAUAUUGGGUCCACUGGAACUAGAGUUGCACACAGUUGUGAGUUGUCAUUUGGCUGCUGGGAAUCAUCCUCUGCAGGAGAAGCCAGGGCUCUUCGAUGCUCAGUCAUCUUUCCAGUCCCCAAAUAAAUAAAGCUUAAAAAUAUGUGCAUGAGCUGUAUUCUGAAGAGAUU